rnacentral:rRNA from 1 species
AGACCCGAAACCCGGUGAUCUAGCCAUGGGCAGGUUGAAGGUUGGGUAACACUAACUGGAGGACCGAACCGACUAAUGUUGAAAAAUUAGCGGAUGACCUGUGGCUGGGGGUGAAAGGCCAAUCAAACCGGGAGAUAGCUGGUUCUCCCCGAAAGCUAUUUAGGUAGCGCCUCGUGAAUUCAUCUCCGGGGGUAGAGCACUGUUUCGGCUAGGGGGCCAUCCCGGCUUACCAACCCGAUGCAAACUGCGAAUACCGGAGAAUGUUAUCACGGGAGACACACGGCGGGUGCUAACGUCCGUCGUGAAGAGGGAAACAACCCAGACCGCCAGCUAAGGUCCCAAAGUCAUGGUUAAGUGGGAAACGAUGUGGGAAGGCCCAGACAGCCAGGAUGUUGGCUUAGAAGCAGCCAUCAUUUAAAGAAAGCGUAAUAGCUCACUGGUCGAGUCGGCCUGCGCGGAAGAUGUAACGGGGCUAAACCAUGCACCGAAGCUGCGGCAGCGACGCUUAUGCGUUGUUGGGUAGGGGAGCGUUCUGUAAGCCUGUGAAGGUGUGUCGUGAGGCAUGCUGGAGGUAUCAGAAGUGCGAAUGCUGACAUAAGUAACGAUAAAGCGGGUGAAAAGCCCGCUCGCCGGAAGACCAAGGGUUCCUGUCCAACGUUAAUCGGGGCAGGGUGAGUCGACCCCUAAGGCGAGGCCGAAAGGCGUAGUCGAUGGGAAACGGGUUAAUAUUCCCGUACUUGGUGUUACUGCGAAGGGGGGACGGAGAAGGCUAUGUUGGCCGGGCGACGGUUGUCCCGGUUUAAGCG